rnacentral:lncRNA from 1 species
AGUCUCCGGACCCGAAGAACCAUGAGCUGAAGAAGAACCGGGAGCUGAAGAAGACGGGUCUAAACGACUACCAGGUUCACCGAACAUCUCUCUAUAGUGGAGAGUAAGUCUGUUCUUUCGAACAGUGUGGAAAAAAAAUUAAUUUUUAAAAUUACCAUCAACAGUAAUUAACAAAUUCUAUAAAUAGCAAAUUCUAUAAAUCUAGCUAAAUUCCCUACAUUUACCACCUAAUCAACACUAAUUAACAUAAAAUCAGUAAACCUAUCUAAAUUCCCUAC